GAUGAACGCUGGCGGCGUGCUUAACACAUGCAAGUCGAACGGAAAGGCUCCUGCUUGCAGGGGUACUCGAGUGGCGAACGGGUGAGUAACACGUGGGUGAUCUGCCCUGCACUUCGGGAUAAGCCUGGGAAACUGGGUCUAAUACCGGAUAGGACGAUGGUUUGGAUGCCAUUGUGGAAAGUUUUUCGGUGUGGGAUGAGCUCGCGGCCUAUCAGCUUGUUGGUGGGGUAAUGGCCUACCAAGGCGUCGACGGGUAGCCGGCCUGAGAGGGUGUACGGCCACAUUGGGACUGAGAUACGGCCCAGACUCCUACGGGAGGCAGCAGUGGGGAAUAUUGCACAAUGGGCGCAAGCCUGAUGCAGCGACGCCGCGUGGGGGAUGACGGCCUUCGGGUUGUAAACUCCUUUCGCUAGGGAAGAAGCGCAAGUGACGGUACCUGGAGAAGAAGCACCGGCUAACUACGUG
rnacentral:rRNA from 1 species